UGUGACGCAUCAAUGACAAAGUGUCCUUCCAGAAACUCGUGUGAAUUCCUCCGGCACUUGUAAUGCGAUCGGAGUUUUGCGUUGUCAUCGGGAGCUGUGCAGAAGCCAGACAGCUUAGCAGGGUAGGAAUUCAAAGGCCCCGGUUCACACCAGACGCAGGCGAAUGUUAAUUUCCCGGGACGAACUUCAGUAACCCUCAGGUUACUUGCAAGUCAUACAAAUGAAAGUUGACGGACUCUAUCGCUGCCUGAUGGGACUGGCAGGGCAAGAAGGGAGAAACACAGGUUCCUGGGAGCCUCUGGUCACAUUUUCAUCAACCGAUCGAUACAUCACCGUGUUUUAUGUGUGUUUCUGUUUAAAGACACGCUAUUUAAUAUAAAUUGCUGAUCCGUUCGCACUGAGCUCACAGCCAACAGCGCUGACUUACACCUGAAGGAAGCUUCUGGAACAUACAUACUUUCUCCAUGAGGCACAUCAGAGCCUUCCUGAGCGAAGGCAGGCCAGCCAGCACUUCAGCAUUGCACUUGAGAAGCAUUUCAAACAGCUAAGUCACCACCAAAAAAACUCUCCAUAAAAGUGUGAAAACAUGGCCCUCAAUAAACCGAGACAAAGGUCCUUGUUCCCAGCGUGGGAGCUGGAAGGAGAAGGCCCGGCACCACCUCUGACCUCGGCCGGCGGGGGCAGGCUCAGGGGGACUCCAGCAAGUGGCCAGGAUGGCAUCGCGAUUGGGGGAUUACAAAGAACUUUUAGCAGGAAUGUAUCAUACAGAUGCAGCCUGGCACACCCAGACUCACAGGCUCGGAAGGUUUUACAGUGAUGUGUUUUAACAGCAAGAUUCUGGGAAUGACCCACUGGCCACCAGUAGAAAACAGGUUAAAUAAAUGACAGCCUGUCAACCGGGGAAUACUACGCAGCCGUGAAAAAGACUGUGGCAUACAAACAGCCAAGCAGUGUGUGAAGAGAUGCUCAACAUCGCCAGCCAUGGGGAAAUGCAUCCCAACCACAGUGAGACCCCACACACACCAGCACGUGCUGCCGAGGUUGCGGGGCAACCAGGACCCUCCUACGCUCUUGGUGGGAACAUAACAGGGCGCAGCUGCUGUGGACAAGUCUGGGCCGUUCCUCAGUCAACACAGAGCUACCGUGUGACCCAGCCAUUUCACUCCUGCAGAGACACCCACAAGAAAUUAAAACAUUCACACCAAAAUUCAUGCACAAAUUCACAUAGCCACACAUUCAUAAUUGCCAAGAGGUCCGAGUAACCCAAACGUCCAUCAGUGGGUGUGGCACGUCAGAGCAGCAGGGUCGUUCUUCGGCGGUACAGACCAGUGCUGUGCUGAGGGAUCAUGGGGCGGACCCUGGACACGUGAUGCCUUGACAAAGAAGGCGGACACAACGGACCCUGUACUGCAGGGUUCCGUGUUAUUAAGUGUCCAGAAUAGACAAAUCCAUGGAGACGGAAGGCAAGCUGGUGGUUGCCAGGGGUUGCGGGGAGCAGGAAUUUGAUGGGACGUUGUGGCCACUGUCCCACUGCAGGGCAACACACCACCCAUGUGGUUGUGCCGAUGCUGGUGUAAGCAAGGCAGGUCCUCGAAGAGCCCUGCUCCAUUACCACACGGAUGAGAUGCCACGGGAACGGAACCUGUUUAUAGCUAUGAGCCUGUGGUGAACUGGUUUCGCUGUAUGUCGAACGUCCCCAGUUCAAUUCCCAAUCAAGGCAGGUGCCUGGGUUGUAGGCCAGGUCCCCAGUAGGGGGCGCACAAGAGGCAGCUACACAUUGGUGUUUCUCUCUCUCUCUU